CACCGCGGUUAUACGAAAGACCCCAGUUGAUAUACGCGGCGUAAAGGGUGGUUAUGGGAAAAAUAAUAAAUAAAGCUAAAGACCCUCUAAGCCGUCAUACGCACCCCGAGGAUACGAAACCCAACCACGAAAGUAGCUUUAAACAUUCACCUGACCCCACGAAAGCUAAGAAA
rnacentral:rRNA from 1 species